rnacentral:rRNA from 1 species
AGUUUGAUCCUGGCUCAGAGCGAACGCUGGCGGCGUGCUUAACACAUGCAAGUCGAGUGCGCAGCUCUUUGUAGCAAUACAGGGAGUCGGCGCACGGCGCACGGGUGCGUAACACGUGGGCAAUCUGCCCUCGGAUGGGGGAUACCCCCGCGAAAGCGGGACUAAUACCGCAUGAUAUUCCGAAGACCUCGGUCUUUGGACUCAAAGCCCGCAAGGGCGUCUGAGGAGGAGCCCGCGCCCGAUUAGCUAGUUGGUGAGGUAACGGCUCACCAAGGCUAUGAUCGGUAGCCGGCCUGAGAGGAUGGCCGGCCACACUGGAACUGAGACACGGUCCAGACUCCUACGGGAGGCAGCAGUGGGGAAUAUUGCGCAAUGGGCGAAAGCCUGACGCAGCGACGCCGCGCGGGGGAUGAAGCUUCUCGGAGUGUAAACCCCUUUCGACCCGGACGAAUGACCCGCAAGGGUUUGACGGUACGGGUAUAAGAAGCCCCGGCUAACUACGUGCCAGCAGCCGCGGUAAUACGUAGGGGGCCAGCGUUGCUCGGAAUUACUGGGCGUAAAGGGUUCGUAGGCGGUGCGGCAAGUUGGGAGUGAAAUCUCUGGGCUUAACCCAGAGGCUGCUUUCAAAACUGCCGUGCUCGAGUGCGAGAGAGGUCAGUGGAAUUGCAGGUGUAGCGGUGAAAUGCGUAGAUAUCUGCAGGAACACCCGUGGCGAAGGCGGCUGACUGGAUCGCAACUGACGCUGAGGAACGAAAGCUAGGGGAGCAAACAGGAUUAGAUACCCUGGUAGUCCUAGCCCUAAACCAUCAGGACUUGGGGUGGCCCGCGUAGGCGGGUCGUCCCGUAGCUAACGCGUUAAGUCCUGCGCCUGGGGAGUACGGUCGCAAGACUGAAACUCAAAGGAAUUGACGG